rnacentral:rRNA from 1 species
UCAGGACGAACGCUGGCGGCGUGCCUAAUACAUGCAAGUCGAACGGUCUUUCUAUGGAAGCUUGCUUCCACUGAGAAGAUAGUGGCGAACGGGUGAGUAACACGUGGGUAACCUGCCCAUAAGAGGGGGAUAACAUCCGGAAACGGGUGCUAAUACCGCAUAGUUUUCUUGAUCGCAUGAUCGGGAAAGGAAAGACGGCCUUUGUGCUGUCGCUUAUGGAUGGACCCGCGGCGUAUUAGUUAGUUGGUGAGGUAAUGGCUCACCAAGACGAUGAUACGUAGCCGACCUGAGGGGUGAUCGGCCACAUUGGGACUGAGACACGGCCCAAACUCCUACGGGAGGCAGCAGUAGGGAAUCUUCCGCAAUGGACGAAAGUCUGACGGAGCAACGCCGCGUGAGUGAAGAAAGGUUUUCGGAUCGUAAAACUCUGUUGUCAGAGAAGAACAAGUUGGAGAGUAACUGCUCCAGCCUUGACGGUAUCUGACCAGAAAGCCACGGCUAACUACGUGCCAGCCGCCGC